rnacentral:tRNA from 1 species
AUUACUUUGGCAGAUUAGUGCAGUAAAUUUAGAAUUUAUUUAUGUAAAUAUUUUACAGGUAAUA